AUUGAACGCUGGCGGCAGGCCUAACACAUGCAAGUCGAACGAGUGGCGGACGGGUGAGUAAUGUCUGGGAAACUGCCUGAUGGAGGGGGAUAACUACUGGAAACGGUAGCUAAUACCGCAUACCAUCGGAUGUGCCCAGAUGGGCUUAGCUAGUAGGUGGGGUAACGGCUCACCUAGGCCACGAUCCCUAGCUGGUCUGAGAGGAUGACCAGCCACACGGGAACUGAGACACGGUCCAGACUCCGACGGGAGGCAGCAGUGGGGAAUAUCGCACAAUGGGCGCAAGCCUGAUGCAGCCAUGCCGCGUGUAUGAAGAAGGCUUUCGGGUUGUAAAGUACUUUAAGCGGGGAGGCGUUAACCGCAGAAGAAGCACCGGCUAACUCCGUGCCAGCAGCCGCGGUAAUAC
rnacentral:rRNA from 1 species